CCUACGGGGGGCAGCAGUGGGGAAUAUUGGGCAAUGGAGGAAACUCUGACCCAGCAACGCCGCGUGAAUGAUGAAGGUCUUCGGAUUGUAAAGUUCUUUUCUAAGGGAAGAAGAAAGUGACGGUACAUUAAGAAUAAGCCUCGGCUAACUACGUGCCAGCAGCCGCGGUAAUACGUAGGAGGCAAGCGUUAUCCGGAAUGACUGGGCGUAAAGGGGGCGUAGGUGGUUUGACAAGUUGGUAGCGUAACUCCGAGGCUUAACCUCGGAACUACUACCAAAACUGUUGGACUCGAGUGCAGGAGGGGUAAAUGGAAUUCCUAGUGUAGCGGUGGAAUGCGUAGAUAUUAGGAGGAACACCAGUGGCGAAGGCGAUUUGCUGGACGGUAACUGACACUGAGGCACGAAAGCGUGGGGAGCAAACAGGAUUAGAUACCCCUGUAGUC
rnacentral:rRNA from 1 species